rnacentral:rRNA from 1 species
GAUGAACGCUGGCGGCGUGCCUAAUACAUGCAAGUCGAACGGGAAAGCUUCGGUACUUGUAUCGAGGUUUGAGAGUGGCGCACGGGUGAGUAACACGUAGCUGACCUACCCUUCGCAGGGGGAUAACUCACCGAAAGGUGAGCUAAUACCGCGUAAGCUGGAGAGAGUUAGAGGUCUCUUCAGGAAAGUGCUACGGAAACGGCGAAGGAGGGGGCUGUGGUCCAUCAGCUAGUUGGUGAGGUAAUAGCUCACCAAGGCGAUGACGGAUAGGGGGCCUGAGAGGGUGACCCCCCACACUGGAACUGAGACACGGUCCAGACUCCUACGGGAGGCAGCAGUAAGGAAUAUUGCACAAUGGGCGCCAGCCUGAUGCAGCAACGCCGCGUGGAGGAUGACGGCCUUCGGGUUGUAAACUCCUUUUCUGGGGGACGAGAACGGACGGUACCCCAGGAAUAAGUCUCGGCUAACUACGUGCCAGCAGCCGCGGUAAAACGUAGGAGGCGAGCGUUAUCCGGAAUUACUGGGCGUAAAGCGCGGGCAGGUGGUGGCUUAAGUCAUGCGUGAAAGCGCUCGGCUCAACCGGGCGAGGCCGUGUGAAACUGGGUCACUGGAGGCAGGUAGAGGCAGACGGAAUUCCGGGUGGAGUGGUGAAAUGCGUAGAGAUCCGGAGGAACACCAGUGGCGAAGGCGGUCUGCUGGGCCUGUCCUGACACUCAGCCGCGACAGCAUGGGGAGCGAACGGGAUUAGAAACCCCGGUAGUCCAUGCCGUAAACGAUGCACACUAGGCGUUGGGGAUGCACUGCAUCUUCAGUGCCGUAGCUAACGCGAUCAGUGUGCCGCCUGGGGAGUACGGUCGCAAGACUAAAACUCAAAGGAAUUGACGGGGGCCCGCACAAGCAGCGGAGCGUGUGGUUUAAUUCGAGGCUACGCGAAGAACCUUACCUAGGCUUGACAUAAUGGUGGUAGGGAACCGAAAGGGGACCGACCUUCGGGAGCCAUUACAGGUGCUGCAUGGCUGACGUCAGCUCGUGUCGUGAGAUGUUCGGUUAAGUCCGAAAACGAGCGCAACCCUCAGAGUUAGUUACAAGUGUCUAACUCGACUGCCCGGGGGAACCGGGAGGAAGGUGGGGAUGACGUCAAGUCAGCAUGGCCUUUAUGUCUAGGGCGACACACACGCUACAAUGGCGGAUACAAUAGGCAGCGAAGCCGCGAGGUGAAGCGAAUCCUCUAAAGUCCGUCUCAGUUCGGAUUGCAGGCUGCAACUCGCCUGCAUGAAGUUGGAGUUGCUAGUAACCGUGGGUCAGCACACUACGGUGAAUACGUUCCCGGGCCU